rnacentral:lncRNA from 1 species
AUUGAUGAGCCCCAUCCUAACGAAAUGAAUUUGAUUCAUACAUGUACACACACGAAUUGAACAUAGAUACAUUCACCGAAUCAUUGAUAAAUCAAUUCUACUUGGGGAGGAAAUUUUUUUCAAUAACUUGUUGAUCCCUAUCCCCAUAUUUUAAAAUUUAUCGUUUUUGAAUUUCUUGGCUUAGUGUGAGAUCGAAAUAUACCUAACCUAAUCUUAACAAUGAGUGAAUCAAUGAGUGAAAGUAUGAGAAAUGGAGUUUAAUCCCGUUUAUAGCAUAUGGCAGACCAAUCACUUCCCGAAGGGUACUAGCCUUCGUAUUAUUUAAAUAAAAAAAGAAUAUUUUUUUUGAAUAUUUGUUACUUUUGUUUAUUUUAGACGUUUAUUAUAAUCACUACUAAUCACUAUUUUCAUUUGAUAUUCUAUAAUAAGUAAUAUAACUAUAUAUUCCAAUUUGCAAAUUUAUGUAUAUUAUUUAAAUUAAAUAAAAAAA